rnacentral:rRNA from 1 species
UUCCUACGGGGGGCAUCAGUGGUGUAUCUUGCACCCUUUUUUCCACCCUGAUGCAGCGACGCCGCGUGUGGGAAGACGGUCCUCUAGAUUGUAAACCACUGUCCCCAGGGACGAAGAUGACGGUACCUGGGGAGGAAGCUCCGGCUAACUACGUGCCAGCAGCCGCGGUAAUACGUAGGGAGCGAGCGUUGUCCGGAAUUACUGGGUGUAAAGGGAGCGUAGGCGGGACUGCAAGUUGGGUGUCAAAUCUACCGGCUCAACCGGUAGCCGCACUCAAAACUGCAGUUCUUGAGUGAAGUAGAGGG